UCUUGCAGCCAAUCAUGAUGGGGUUUACCACACUAAUCACCCUGAGAGGGAGGAGCCGGAAAACCAGAAGUGGACUUCAGCACCAGGACUCAAGUGUAAGCAGGAGAAAAUGAACACUCAGGUGGGCAGACAAUGAAUGGUCACAGGUACAG